rnacentral:lncRNA from 1 species
GAAAAGGAGUUCUCCGAAGCACAGAAAGGAGGGAGAGGGAGAGAAAUCCUUGAGUAGGGCGUUGUCCCUUUCUUUGCCUUCUCUCCUGCCUCUCCUUCCUUUGCUGACCUAGAAUCUGCUCUACUUUCAAACGUCAUCCUUGGGAGAGGUGUGGCUACAAUCAGUGUUUAGCAAACAUUUGAAGAACAGGGUGUGUGGUACUCGCUGUGAGUGGAAAGGGGAACUCCCAGGCCACGGGAAGAAACAUAGAUUUUGCCCUCAGAAAGGGUUCUGGUGCGGUGUAAAAAUCCCUCAUCCUGAGACAGGAAGCACCUCAGCUUGUCCCAGCGCUUCUCAUAUCCAUUGCUGGCCCCUCCCUUCUCCAGAGGCCACCACAUGAAGCCUAGACUCUGCUUCACAGAGCAGCCACCUCUGCUAGGGUCCCAGCAGGGAGGGGACAAUGGGCUGAGGCUCAGCUCCAGAGAAAACAGGCCGUUUGUGAGAACCCUGGCCUUGGCAGACUCUUCUCUAGGAGAGGUGCUAUGCAGGACCUCAGCUUCACUGGAAGAAGAGUUGGAUUAGCAGCUGUUGUUUGGGCAGUCUGGAUUUUAGCAAGACGAAUGGAGAGGAAGUCGCAGUAAAGUCAGAUGUGGGACAGCUGCUGAGAAUAAAGACAGGCACAGGCUUCGUGGGGAAUUCCCGGUCCUUCUGUGUCGCUCACUCCAUUAAAAAUGAAGUCAC